GAAAGUACUACCUUCCACAAAGGAGGAAGAGGUGCCAAAACCUGGGCUUUCUUCUGUGGUUGGAGCCCAUGACAAAUUCCAGCCUGAGACUUGGAGGCAGGUUCACAACGAGGAAGAGGUAGAGGGUCUUAAUGCACGUAAAUCUCACGCCACUUGGCCACCUGCAGUCAGUGACUCAUCCGUGCUCAGCCACCCAGACCUCUGGGAGCACCUGUUCUAGGAAAGAAUUUGUGGCCCAACUUACUCCUACGUGCAUUGAUUCAAUGCCAAAGGAAAGGAUCAAGGUCUGACAGUUGAGGGUCUGUGGAUGGCAUCUAUAAAAUGCCUACUACAACUGCAAUGAGAAGGAGCUGGGGCUGAAACCCCAGGGUUUGCAACAGACAUGCUGGUGUUGGGUGUGAACCAGGCAGCCACACGCAAACCGGGCCUGCUCUCGCUGUGGUUUCCCGUGCUCGUCUACUGGUGUCCUAACCUGCCUCCACUUGGGGCUGGGCUCUCAGGUGCCACGCUCGGCCCUGGCACAAGUGGGGACCUGGGCAAGUGGAGCUGAAUGAGAAAGGCAGGCAUCCUGGUGCAGUGGGAAGAACACUGGAUUCAAAAGUAGGCCAUGAGUUUACUAGCUGUAUGGCAUGCAAUAGGUGAAUGACCUCUCUGGGGUUCAGCUCCUCAUAUGCAAAGUGGGCACCAGGACUUUGCAGAGAAAAUUCAAUGAGAUAUUUCUAGGCUGGUGCCUGGCUCAUCCAAGAACGGAUGUUUCCUAAAAGGAGAUUAAUUGAUUCAUCUGGUUUGCUGUAAAAGGUUUCCCAGGCCCAUCAGCUCCAAUGAACAGCUUAGAGCAAGCAAAGGAGCACACUGUCUAGUGACUAAAUAAUGAACCAAUAACGGGCAGGAAAAAAAGUAAAGCUAGCACUUGGCUAAGGAAAAAAAACAGACAUGAUGACAUCUAUUUACCUUUUUAGAUAAGCAUUCCCCACUUUCCAAAUCAGCCCUGAAGCCUUUUAUUUGUUAAUGGCUCAACUCCAAAGUAUGUGCCCUGGGAAAUCACAAUGAACCUAAUCAUUUUAGCAAUAAUCCCUGAAAAAUUGGCCGUUACUGGAAGUGACCAACAAUUUGGUUGUAACGGCCUGAAGCAAGAUUAUUAACAGCAAAUGUGAAGAUGAUUAUUUUAGCAAAUUGCCACUGAUUGGUAAAUUCAGAACACAAAGACCUCAUGCCUGGCUGGAGUCUCCGGGAAAUCAUUUCAUGCCCAUAAUAAGUGUCUGCUGCUUGAGAUAUAAAAUGCCAUUUGAGUCAGUUCUCUCACUGUUUGGGGCAGGGAAGGUGCCCAGUUAUAGGCAGGGACGGAUAGGAUUUGUGGGUGGGGUGAAGCAAAGGAUGCUAAGAAAGUUACCACCUCCACGCACUGAUUUUGGAAGCCCAUGUUUCCUAAUUGCUGAGCCAAAGAGAAGUUCAAUGCAUUAUAAGGCUCCAUGUGUGUAUAACAUGGUAGCCACUUUCAGUGAAAUUAUUAUAUCCAUAAAUUAGUGAGAUAUUUUUGGUUUGCAAGAAGACAGAAAGCCCAAGCCAAACUUGUUUAAACAAAAAUGGAAUAUUUGGGCUCAUUUAAAUGAAAAUUCCUGGAAUAUGUCCAGCUUCAGGCCUGGCUUAACCAAGGGGACCACACGGUGGCUCCCAGAUUCCGUACUUCUGCAUCAGUUUCCUUCCUUUCCUUCCUUUGUGUCAGCCACACAGAGGGGAAGGUGGGGCAGCAGGGCCAGGCUUGCUCCUCUACAGAUUAACAUCUCUUUCCCGGGCGACCCAGCAACGGCCCCGCUGUCUGUCUGUAAUGUGGAUCCUGUCCUCGUCACCAAACCAGUCACAGUGACUGGAGAAUGUCACGAGCUAAUUGGCCAGAACCACAGGCCAGAGCCAUUCCUGGAACUAAAGAUGUGUGCUGAGGACAGGGGAGAGGUCAGAUCCUCUGAGAGACACUGAGGUGCUCUAACCGAGAGAAAGGGCCCAGAAGGAGGACAGAUGUUCCCCACGUUCUCCAACCCAGGACAGAGCAGUGAUUUAUAGUAAUUAGCAUCCAGUGACUCCCUCACUCCAAACAAACACAAAUGGAUGAGGCGCUCCUGGCCAAAGCUGAUGCAGUGUGCUUUAUUUAUUUAAUUGGAUUUAAUCUUCAUUCUGUUUAGUGAAUACUGGAAGGAAACAAUUAAGCAAAAGGGUGGAGCCAUCUAUCAGACUGAAAGAAGAAGCAAGCUCCUCAGAGCUGAAGCAGAUUCUAGAGGAGAGGUGAAGGGCAAAGGGAGCGUGCGAAGGAGGAGAAUCACGUUUGUUGCCCUGGUCACUGAGAACUUUCAGCCUCACGGUGCAGCCUCUCCAUCAUCUGUUGAAACUCAGACUUUUGCAUCUGCAUAGAUUCCCUGCCUUCUUAACUUUGCACAAGUCUUCCCUCUGCCUAGGAUUCCUUCGUCUACUUUCCUAGGUGCAAAACUUCACCUGAUUCUUCAAGACUCUGACUUCUCCUCCUGCAGCGACCUUCCAAGUCUUCUAGGCUUCCAGAACCACAGUACCCUCUGCAUAUCAUCGGAAAAGAGAAGUUAACAGACAACUUUGGUCCCCUCCCUCACAUCUGCCGUUAAGAGAAACAGGGAUUUGCGGGGUGGCACUGGUGAGUGAAUAAAAAGCACUGACUGAGGGCCACCCAUAGGAUAGGCUCUGGGGGCUGGGGAGGGGGGGCUGAGAUCUCUGUGAGUUCAUGUUGCAGGGGGCGUUUCUGGAAGAAGAUGGAAUUGGGUGGAGGACUUGAGAGAUGCCCAGGAUGUAGACAGACUGAUGAUAGAAGGGGGAGUGACCUGAGCCAGAGGUGGGAGCUGACAGAUGUGUGCAGGUAGCACUUCCAAAGGCGGUGAGGGGUGCAGUGGGAAAGUAAUGGGGAAGAUGGGACACAGCCAGCCAACGGAUGAACAUUCAAGCUUUGUCCCUAUAGGCAAUGGGCAGCUGCCGAAGUUAUCAAGUGACCUGGAAAAUGGGAUUUUAGGCCAUUCGCCUGGCUAGGUUGUGCCAGGGUGACAGCACGAAGACAGAUGAGUUCAGGUACCACUGUAGUGAACCACAGGUAAGCUGUGAAAGUCACCCUCUAUGGUAGAAGCACCUGGGCAUUAAGUCAUCAGAGUGGCUACUGUGAAUUAGGGACAUUCCGUCUGCCGGGCACAAUUCUAUGCUCUUUUCAUGUAAUAACUCAGUUAAUCCUGAAACAGCCUUGUAAGUACGAUGAUCAUUCCCAGUUUUUCUACUGAUGUGGAAACUCAAGUCCUGAGUGGUGAAGCCCCUUGUUCAAGGUCACCCAGUUACUAUGUGGCAGACUCGGGAUUCAAAAGCAGACAGUCUGGCCUUUUGCCUUCACCACAACACUAGCCAGAAGACCCGGAUUCAAACCCCAGAGCUUCAUCAAACCAUUUUUGUGAGUUUGGAUCUCAGUCUCCUUAUCUGUCCAAUGGGGACAACGGAACCCGCCUCAUGCCUGAGGCAUCUAAGCAACAGAAAUGCUGAGCUCAGAGCUAGGGCUCUAUGAAGGCUCUGAUCAGUGCCGAUUCCCCUUCUGUUUCAGUUGGUCACAUCAUCUUGUAAUUAAAAUGUAUCACUAAGAAAGCAGAGCUCACCUCGCAACCCCCGCGCCCACGAAGUGGGUAGGGAGGAGGGGGUCAUGCUGGGGCCCAGCGGUCUUCUCUGCGCUUCCUGUUCACCCCGCAGCCCCCAACUCCAAGCCCAGCCACUUCCCAGAUAGGACUGAUUUCUCCCUGAACUCAGUUCAUUUAAGGUCUCCGCCCCAUGGAAGGAACACAGGAAUCUGUGGCAGUGAACUCAGCAACAUUUGUUACCCAGCCCAAGAAUAAACAGAGAAAGCAAGCUCUCCACAUCUUCAGAAGUGCAUUUACUAUACUCGAAACAGAUGAAUUCUCUCUGUUUGCAUUAAUCGCAUGAC